CGGGUACGUCGGAGGAAUGCGGCAGUAAGUAACGAACUUCGAUGAGUCGUUGAGAUUUUAAUAUCCGUAACGCAUUUGUGAUUUUCGAUUAAGAAAAUAACGCGUUGCUUCCGCCAAUCAAAUGCUUGAUCGAAACAGCGACGUUAAAAAUGAAGUUUUUCGUGAAAAUGUUGUUCGCGAUGGCAUUAUUAACGAUCGUCUUGUCACCGGCGAUUUGUCAAAUCUAUGAUGAAGAAUCAACAGACAACAACACUUUUUUUAUAAAACUUCGAUACAUUGGUGGAUCAUGUCCAGUGAACCAACGGUUGGACAAGGAUGGGAACUGUCGAGUGAUAGAAUAAUGUCACUCACUAAGGAGUUCAAAAUCCGCUUGACGAAAAUCGCUAAGAGACAAUCGCUGGCUAUUCAAGGAUAAAUCGAGAAGAAUGACUAGCAAAACAGGACAAAUAUUAUUCAUAUCGAUGUUACGAUGGCAAUUUCAUCAGAUUAUACAUUAUUGCAUGUACAUAGAAGACAUUGUUCACUUUUUAAGCUGUCAACCUCACAAUUAUAAUAAUAAGUAUGAAUGUUUGAUGGAUUGCGGAGAAAUAUAAUAAUGCAAAGUGUUGCAUGAGAAUCGUGUUAUUGCAUUUUUUUUAUAAAAAAAGAAGCAGCCCACAAGCGCGUUAUACUCAUAUAUCAGACGAUAUCUUCUUAAAAUCCUACCUUUGUUAAAUUAGCCGAUACCGGUAUUCGAUGAAUGUCAACUUCGGACGUUCGCACAUUGCUUUUAUCAGAAAUUUUUCUAUUAAAAUAGGCAUUUUAUGAAAUGUUUAUAACAUGUUUCAUAAAAUUAGAUUAGUUGUAUGUAAGAGUACAAUAAAUAAAAGUGCCGUCAUCGUAUCCUUCUUCACGUACUCGUUUUUCUACUGACAAAAAAGUAAGAAGUGUUUAAAAUACAAUUAUAUUCUUCCCCCAAGAAAAAACUUGUACUUUCAACUUUAUACGAAAAACUAAACGUUUUAUUGCGAAUAAUAAAAGAUGUUAAGAAAUUACAGUCGGUUUCCAUAAAAUUUCGGAAAGAUGAUACUACGGUUGAUGUCGUUAACUUAUAUCAUAAACAAGAACAUUAUUACGUUACUUUUUAUAAGACUUUGAGGACACGAUUCAUUUACCAUUCUCUUCUCUGACUCAUAUGAUUGAUUGUUAUUCGCGAUAUAGUCUUCAAGGAAACUCAUUGAUCAAUCUUUACCUAUAUCAUAGAACAUACAAACAAGUAUUGUAAAUUGCUUCACACACGAGAGCUACAUACAUAAUCGUCUGAAGGUUACAAACGGCGGUUAUAAAUAGCAGGUUUGUCGGUGAAACACGGCAAUAUGUAGCGAACUUCAGUGAGCUAUUGAUAUUGCAACGUCCGUGAUCCAUUUGUGAUUUUCGAUUAAAAAAACGACGUGUCGAUUCCGCCAAUCGCAUAUUUCAUCGAAACAUCGACAUUAAAAAUGAAGUUUUUCGUGAAAGUGUUGCUCGCGCUGGUGUUGUUAAUCUUGAUUGUUUUAUCACCAACGAUUUGUGAAGACACGAAAGAUGAAGACUACGAAGAUCCAUGGGGUGGUAUAUGGAAUAAAACACGUGAGAGAUUAUCGUCUGAUGUUAGAGACGGUCAUAUUAUACAAUUUCCAGACCUAUCGCAAUGCCCAGAAAAUCAACGGCAAGACAAAGAUGGAAGAUGUCGAGUAACAGAAUAAUUUCAUUCACUAAGGUGCGAAACUCGCUAAGCGUAAAUCGCUAAGAGCUUGACUAUUCAAGGAUAAAUCAAGGAGAAUGACAAACGAAACGGAACAAUUAUUAAUAAUAUCUAACAAUGCUACGACAGCAACUUUAUUAGAUUAUAAUUUAUUGUAUGUGGAAGACAUUGUGCACUUUUUAAACUGUCAGAUUCAAUUGUGUAUAGCAAUAUUUGGCGAAUUGUAAUUGUUGAUGUAGUGAAAUACGUCGAUUCAAAGUCUCGCAGGAGCAUCAUGUUGUUACAUUCUUUCAUAAUAAAAGCUGUCCAUGUAUUGGGGACUUGAAUAA
rnacentral:lncRNA from 1 species